rnacentral:rRNA from 1 species
UGUUUCGGCAAGGGGGUCAUCCCGACUUACCAACCCGAUGCAAACUGCGAAUACCGGAGAAUGUUAUCACGGGAGACACACGGCGGGUGCUAACGUCCGUCGUGAAGAGGGAAACAACCCAGACCGCCAGCUAAGGUCCCAAAGUCAUGGUUAAGUGGGAAACGAUGUGGGAAGGCCCAGACAGCCAGGAUGUUGGCUUAGAAGCAGCCAUCAUUUAAAGAAAGCGUAAUAGCUCACUGGUCGAGUCGGCCUGCGCGGAAGAUGUAACGGGGCUAAACCAUGCACCGAAGCUGCGGCAGCGACGCUGAUGCGUUGUUGGGUAGGGGAGCGUUCUGUAAGCCUGUGAAGGUGUGCUGUGAGGCAUGCUGGAGGUAUCAGAAGUGCGAAUGCUGACAUAAGUAACGAUAAAGCGGGUGAAAAGCCCGCUCGCCGGAAGACCAAGGGUUCCUGUCCAACGUUAAUCGGGGCAGGGUGAGUCGACCCCUA